rnacentral:rRNA from 1 species
UACGUAGGGUGCAAGCGUUAAUCGGAAUUACUGGGCGUAAAGCGUGCGCAGGCGGCCCUCCAAGUCAGGCGUGAAAGCCCCCGGGCUCAACCCGGGAAUAGCGCUUGAGACUGGGGGGCUUGAGUUCGGGGAGAGGAGAGUGGAAUUCCCCAGUGUAGAGGUGAAAUUCGUAGAUAUUGGGAAGAACACCGGUGGCGAAGGCGGCUCUCUGGAGCCGACACUGACGCUGAGGCGCGAAAGCGUGGGGAGCAAACAGG